CUUUGUUUAAAAAUGCUUCUGAAUUCUGAUUUCCGUCUGGGAAGGCUCCUGAAUAAUGUUACAUCAGAGGGAGCCACCUGACAUGAAGAGAACGGCCAGUGACAAGUGACAGAUGAUCAACUUAUGUUGGGCAACACAAGAGAAUUAAAAUGGAAAUAUCACCAUACGCCAUUUUCAGAAGAAAAUUAUCGGAAAAGGCAGCUUUCUGGAAGGUAAUUGUUCGCAGCAAAAUGAUGGUAUCUAUAAUUCCACUGGAAUCUACUAAUGGCCAAGAGAAGAGAUAAGUUUGUUUGAAAAAUAAAACAAAAGGUUACGUGUCACUUCUUCCUGUGGUUCAAAUGUCUGUGAUCCUGUCAAACUCCUAGUGGACCUCUUCUGCCCGAUGUCAUUAUAGGGAUUGCAGCCAAUAUGCAGUAGCUGUGAAGAUUCCAGAAUACAGCAUCCAGAUUCUCCACAAUACCUUUUUUCC